GAGUUUGAUCGUGGCUCAGAUUGAACGCUGGCGGCAUGCCUUACACAUGCAAGUCGAACGGCAGCAUGAUCUAGCUUGCUAGAUUGAUGGCGAGUGGCGAACGGGUGAGUAAUACAUCGGAACGUGCCCUGUAGUGGGGGAUAACUAGUCGAAAGAUUAGCUAAUACCGCAUACGACCUGAGGGUGAAAGUGGGGGACCGCAAGGCCUCAUGCUAUAGGAGCGGCCGAUGUCUGAUUAGCUAGUUGGUGGGUAAAGGCCCACCAAGGCGACGAUCAGUAGCUGGUCUGAGAGGACGAUCAGCCACACUGGGACUGAGACACGGCCCAGACUCCUACGGGAGGCAGCAGUGGGAAUUUGGACAAUGGGCGAAAGCCUGAUCCAGCAAUGCCGCGUGUGUGAAGAAGGCCUCGG
rnacentral:rRNA from 1 species